CAGCCGCCGCGGUAAUACGAAGGUCCCAAGCGUUGUUCGGAAUCACUGGGCGUAAAGGGUGCGUAGGUGGCGCGGUAAGUCAGAUGUGAAAUCCCGGGGCUCAACCUCGGAACUGCAUCCGAUACUACCGUGCUUGAGGACUGGAGAGGAGACUGGAAUUCUCGGUGUAGCAGUGAAAUGCGUAGAGAUCGAGAGGAACACUCGUGGCGAAAGCGAGUCUCUGGACAGUUCCUGACACUGAGGCACGAAGGCCGGGGUAGCGAAAGGGAUUAGAUACCCCUGUAGUCCUGGCAGUAAACGGUGCGCGCUUGGUGUGGGAGGAUUCGACCCCUUCCGUGCCGGAGCUAACGCGUUAAGCGCGCCGCCUGGGGAGUACGGUCGCAAGACUAAAACUCAAAGAAAUUGACGGGGACCCGCACAAGCGGUGGAGUAUGUGGCUUAAUUCGAUGCAACGCGAAGAACCUUACCAGGGCUUGACAUGCAUCUCUAAGCGCGUGAAAGCGCGUGACCCUUCGGGAAUUUGCACAAGUGCUGCAUGGCCGUCGUCAGCUCGUGUCGUGAGAUGUUGGGUUAAGUCCCGCAACGAGCGCAACCCCUGUGAUUAUUUGCCAGCACGUAAUGGUGGGAACUCUAAUCAGACUGCCCAGAUCAACUGGGAGGAAGGUGGGGACGACGUCAGGUCAGUAUGGCCCUUACGCCCUGGGCUGCACACGUACUACAAUGCCCAGUACAAUGAGAACCGAUACCGCGAGGUGGAGGAAAUCUGUAAAACUGGGCCCAGUUCGGAUUGGAGGCUGCAACUCGCCUCCAUGAAGUCGGAAUCGCUAGUAAUGGCACAUCAGCAACGGUGCCGUGAAUACGUUCCCGGGUCUUGUACACACCGCCCGUCACAUCAUGGAAGCCGGUCGCACCCGAAGUGCAUGAGCUAAUCCCGCCUCGGCGGGAAGGCAGUGCCCUAAGGUGUAGCUGGUAACUGGGAUGAAGUCGUAACAAGGUAACCGUA
rnacentral:rRNA from 1 species